rnacentral:rRNA from 1 species
UGGGGAAUAUUGGACAAUGGGCGCAAGCCUGAUCCAGCCAUGCCGCGUGAGUGAUGAAGGCCUUAGGGUUGUAAAGCUCUUUCACCGGAGAAGAUAAUGACGGUAUCCGGAGAAGAAGCCCCGGCUAACUUCGUGCCAGCAGCCGCGGUAAUACGAAGGGGGCUAGCGUUGUUCGGAAUUACUGGGCGUAAAGCGCACGUAGGCGGACUUUUAAGUCAGGGGUGAAAUCCCGGGGCUCAACCCCGGAACUGCCUUUGAUACUGGAAGUCUGGAGUAUGGAAGAGGUAAGUGGAAUUCCGAGUGUAGAGGUGAAAUUCGUAGAUAUUCGGAGGAACACCAGUGGCGAAGGCGGCUUACUGGUCCAUUACUGACGCUGAGGUGCGAAAGCGUGGGGAGCAAACA